CACUUUUGCUGAUGCAGCAGUGGUGAGAGAAACCUUAAAGGUUUGAGUUUGGUGCCACCUGGACAAAUGGCCAACUUUUCAAUUCUAGUCAUCUGCAGCAGGUGAAGAGGGGCAAGAAAAUGAAGACCCAUCUUCUAAUGAAGCUCCUUUGUGUCCUGCAUUUGCUGCACAUUACAAACUGACAUCAUCAUGCAAUUAUUACCUUACAGCUUUCAUCCUGCAUAAGAUUGUAUUGGGUGACACAAUCUUUAGGAUGUUAGCCUGAAAUAGAUGAGAAGCUCACCCUCUUCUCUGACUUGCUGAAGCUUUUCCUUAUGGCUGACUACUUAUGUGUGUAGAGCCAUGGGAAGCAUAACUUAACUGUGGAGAAAGAAAAUCAAAACAUACCCCUUAGUGAACUAAAGGCUGAUUGUGUGGGGCUCUCCAGAAUGUCUGCUUGUUAUGGUCAUGGGAACUGAGACAAAUUUGCUGCUGCUCCUGCUGCUAGAACCAAUUUUCAUGUUUCUUGGAUCUGCUGCCACAUCCAUGCCAGCUACAGAAGACUUGGGACAUCUCACAGGAAUGGAAGACUGCCCAUCCAUGAUGUAAUGUGGGAGCUAGUGCAAGACAUCUUUCAGGGCUUCCAGAGCUGAAGGAACUCAAAUGAUUCUGCAAUUUGGUGGAGUGUGAUGUGUGGUGUUCUGUGUCUUGAUUCCUUCCUUCCCCAUUCUCUUUUUGCAAGGAGAGGUAGAAGGAAUGGUCUGCCACUGUCCAGAGGUGCUGCUAAUUAUAGACCAACCUGCCCAGUGAAGAGCCUGCAGGACACUGCCCUGCAUGGUGAUGAGCUUCAGAGAGAAAUGAGUGCUGUCCAUAAACCCGGCCAUCCAUGCUCUGCACUGCAUUGCCCAGGGGAGGGCUGAAUGCACGUGGAUGCUGAUGGCACAAUCCACUCACAGACAGUAUCUGUUUAUUUGCAUACAGAACUAUCUGUAAAGCAUUCCAUUACUCCAUUCCCUUAUAAUUUUCCCAACAACCCUUUUCUGAGGACAGGACCAUAAAAAUGAGUCUCAAAAAAAAAAGCAGCAAAGCAACCGUAACAAUUUUGUUUAUUCUUAAAAAAUGAAAGUUUCAUUUCUUACUGUGUAAAUAGAAAUAAGUGAGAAGGGGAGAGAGACUAGAAUUGAAAUCAGAAAAAGUGAUUAUUUAGUUUUGCAGAGCGUUUCAAUGUUCUGCUUUUGGGAUUCUUUCUUUAUUUGGGGUAAAGUAUGUCAUUUUAAUUCUCUGUGAAAGAAAAGAGAAAUGUGGACUCUGGGAGCACUGUCUCUAGCACAGUAGGAGUCCACCUGAUGUUUUUCCCCAGAGCCUUGAUUUAGUGAAGCCUCAGGAACAUCCACUCUGUCUUCUCAGCAGCCAUUUGGUGAAAUUCUCUGGGAGCAGUUUGCUGUCCAGCAAACUCCCUUAGCACCAUGGCAAAGCUGAAAUAUCAUCUCUGCAUCUCAUUUAAAGGUCAGGAAAACAGUAAAUUCUGGUUAAUAAAAAAUCCAAAAACCAAACAUUGUUCAAACUUGCUACAAACACAAUGUGGCUUUGUAUGUUUAGUUAAGUUUUACAACUAAAGUAGUGCUGCUUUGCAACAGACUGUAUAAAUUAGUAUUAGUGGAUCACAAGCUGCUUCCAGAGAAAUAAGCCUUAGAGUGUAUAACUGCUCUGGUAAAAUAAAAUAAAUAAAAAAGUCUUGUGUAGGACUUCUAUGCCAU